UACGUAGGGGGCAAGCGUUGUCCGGAUUUAUUGGGCGUAAAGAGCGUGUAGGCGGCCUGACAGGUCAGCUGUGAAAACUCGAGGCUCAACCUCGAGACGUCGGUUGAAACCGUAAGGCUAGAGUCCGGAAGAGGAGAGUGGAAUUCCCGGUGUAGCGGUGAAAUGCGCAGAUAUCGGGAAGAACACCCGUGGCGAAGGCGGCUAGCU
rnacentral:rRNA from 1 species